GACGAACGCUGGCGGCGUGCCUAAUACAUGCAAGUCGAACGCAGUGGGGCCGGGUGAGUAACACGUGGGUAACCUCCCAUCAGAGGGGAUAACACUUGGAAACAGGUGCUACAACGAUACUGAUGGAUGUACCCGAGGUGCAUUAGCUAGUUGGUGAGGGAACGGCUCACCAAGUCCACGAGUAAUAGCCGAACGAAGAGGGUGAUCGGCCACACUGGGACGUAGACACGGCCCAGACUCCUACGGGAGGCAGCAGUAGGGAAUCUUCGGCAAUGGACGAAAGUCUGACCGAGCAACGCCGCGUGAGUGAAGAAGGUUUGCGGAUCGGAAAACUCUGUUGUUAGAGAAGCGGUAUCUAACCAGAAAGCCACGGCUAACUACGUGCCAGCAGCCGCGGUAAUUC
rnacentral:rRNA from 1 species